GCUAAACGCGAAGAACCUUACCAAGGCUUGACAUAUACGGUCUAUCCCUAGAGAUAGGGAGUGCUUCGGCGCCGUAUACAGGUGGUGCAUGGUUGUCGUCAGCUCGUGUCGUGAGAUGUUGGGUUAAGUCCCGCAACGAGCGCAACCCUCGUCCUAUGUUGCCAGCGGGUAAUGCCGGGGACUCAUAGGAGACUGCCGGGGUCAACUCGGAGGAAGGUGGGGAUGACGUCAAAUCAUCAUGCCCCUUAUGUCUUGGGCUUCACGCAUGCUACAAUGGCCGGUACAGAGGGCUGCGAUACCGUAAGGUGGAGCGAAUCCCAAAAAGCCGGUCUCAGUUCGGAUUGAGGUCUGCAACUCGACCUCAUGAAGUCGGAGUCGCUAGUAAUCGCAGAUCAGCAACGCUGCGGUGAAUACGUUCCCGGGUCUUGUACACACCG
rnacentral:rRNA from 1 species